GAUGAACGCUGGCGGCGUGCCUAAUACAUGCAAGUCGAGCGAACAGACGAGGAGCUUGCUCCUCUGACGUUAGCGGCGGACGGGUGAGUAACACGUGGAUAACCUACCUAUAAGACUGGGAUAACUUCGGGAAACCGGAGCUAAUACCGGAUAAUAUAUUGAACCGCAUGGUUCAAUAGUGAAAGACGGUUUUGCUGUCACGUAUAGAUGGAUCCGCGCCGCAUUAGCUAGUUGGUAAGGUAACGGCGUACCAAGGCAACGAUGCGUAGCCGACCUGAGAGAGUGGUAGGCCACACUGGAGCUGAGACACGGUCCAGACUACUACGGGAGGCAGCAGUAGGCAAUCGUACGCAGUGGGCGGAAGCAUGACGGAGCAACGCCGCGUGAGUGAUGAAGGUCUUCGGAUCGUAAAACUCUGUUAUUAGGGAAGAACAAAUGUGUAAGUAACUAUGCACGUCUUGACGGUAACUAAUCAGAAAGCCACGGCUAACUACGUG
rnacentral:rRNA from 1 species